rnacentral:misc_RNA from 1 species
UUUCCGUAGGUGAACCUGCGGAAGGAUCAUUCAUAAUAAAGUGUUAUGGCACUUUUUAAAAAUCCAUAUCCACCUUGUGUGCAAUGUUAGAUCUCGUCAAUCUUGGCGAGAUUUUUAUACAUCAACUCAUUCUUUAACUAAUUUGUCUGAAAAAUAUUAUGAAUACUUAAUUCAAAAUACAACUUUCAACAACGGAUCUCUUGGCUCUC